AGUCGAACGAGAAAGCAUCUUCGGAUGUGAGUAAAGUGGCGGACGGGUGAGUAAUACAUAGGAAUCUACCCAAUGGAGGGGGAUAGCUCGAGGAAACUCGAAUUAACACCGCAUAAUCUCUAUGGAGUAAAGGGGGCUUCGGCUCUCGCCAUCGGAUGAGCCUAUGCAAGAUUAGCUUGUUGGUAGGGUAAUGGCCUACCAAGGCAACGAUCUUUAGCUGGUUUGAGAGGAUGACCAGCCACAUCGGGACUGAGACACGGCCCGGACUUCUACGGAAGGCAGCAGUAGGGAAUAUUGGACAAUGAGCGAAAGCUUGAUCCAGCUAUGCCGCGUGUGCGAUGACGGCCCUCGGGUUGUAAAGCACUUUAGGUAACGAGGAAAAGUUAGGUGUUAAUACCAUCUAACCAUGACGUUAAUUACAGAAUAAGCACCGGCUAAAUCCGUGCCAGCAGCCGCGGUAAUACGGAUGGUGCAAGCGUUAAUCGGAAUUACUGGGCGUAAAGCGCGCGUAGGUGGCAUACUAAGUUAGAUGUGAAAUCCCCGGGGCUUACCCUCGGACCUGCAUCUAAAACUGGUAAGCUAGAGUACUAGAGAGGAAAGUA
rnacentral:rRNA from 1 species